AUGGCGUCCGCCGCCUCGCCCGCGCCGUCGUGGGUCAUCCUGGGCAGCGUGCCGCGGGUGCUCUCGGCGGCCGACGCCAACGCCGACCUCCCUCCGGGUCCAGGCGCCGCCGACUUCUCCCUCGCGCUGCCGGCGCCCCCGCGCGUCGCGCUCCUCACCAUCCCCCCGCGCAUCUUCCCGUGCCGCACCACCCCCGAGAACUUCCCCUCCGUCCUCGCCGCCGACCCCUCCGCGGGCCUCCUCCUCCUCCACGCCGACCAGGGCCGCGCCACGGGCCCCACCAUCAUUGACACCCCCGGCCACCAGGAGUUCUCCUGGCGCCCGCUCGUCGCGGGCUACUUCGUGCUCGACGCCGCCGCCGCCUCCGCCCUGCCGCUCCCCAAGCCCGAGCUCAUCGCGCACCCGGGCCACCUCGGCCUCGUCGCCUCCCCGGUCGGCGAGGGCUACAUGGUCGCCGAGCUGCAGCCCUUCCUCGGCGGCGACACGGCCUACCUCCUGCGCUUCUCGUCGCAGGUCGGGGAGUGGGUCAGCAAGAGCGUCGGCUACCCACUCCCGGCACGCCCGCUCAGCCCCAACGGCGUCGUCGCCUGCUCCGGGAGGCUCUGGUGGGUCGACCUCUCCUGGUGCCUCCUCACCUGCGACCCCUUCGCCGACGCGCCGGCGCUCGACGUCGUCCCGCUCCCGGACGGCAAGGCGCUCAAGUCCAAGGAAGCCUGGGGGCUGCUCGACAAGUACCGCUGCGUGGGCGUCAGCGCCGGCAAGCUGCGGUUCGUCGACAUGUACCGCAACCGCAACAGCAACGGGGCCGCGCAGAUCAGCGUCUGGACGCUCGCCGACUACCCGUAGUCCACGGACUGGACGCUGGAGUGCGAGACCACCUUCGCGGAGAUCUGCAACGACGCCAGCUACAAGGCCACUGGUCUGCCGAGGAAGAUCCCCGUGCUCGCGCUCAUCCAUCCCACCAACCCCGACGUGGUCUACUUCUUCCAGGACGAGCAGCUGAUCGGCGUCGACGUGCGUGCCCGCAAGGUCGUGGGGUGCGAGGUCUACGAGCUGGUUGAGCCGCCGCGCGAAGACGUCGCUUCCCGCUUCGUUCACGCUUGGCAGCUGCCACCGGCUCUCUGCUCAGGUCCUGCAGAGGAAACCGUCGAUGCCGCAGCUGAAGAGCUGGAGCAACUGAAUCUGCAUGAUUAUCUCAAAAAGUACAAGCUCAUCUGUUAG
rnacentral:rRNA from 1 species